GGGAAGAGAAAUAAAGGUAAGAUUUGGGAUAAGAAGUGGAGGGGUUAUGUCUUCUGGAACAUGAGCACAUAUAUACUCAAUGCAUGUAAGUGCGAGAAUGAUACCUUUCCAAUUACUUAAUUAUGGAAGACAGAAGUGGUGAUAUAGGCACGUAACUGGUCAUUUCCUACCCAUUUUAUACAUAAAUUUAUAUAAUUUUCUGAUGUAUAUGUACAUUUUAAAUUAGCUCUAAGUGUAAGUUGCAAAACAAAUGCAAAGUUGAAAG
rnacentral:lncRNA from 1 species